ensembl:lncRNA novel transcript, antisense to FAM174B
CCCCUCAAGAAAUAUGGACUCCGUGGCAGAUGAAUGUAGAUGCCGGUUCUGGAGGCUCUUCUGGGUAGACCAGAAGCACCCACCUCCUCCGCUCACACCCUAGGGCACAGCCACCUUCCCCUCUGCCCUUUCCCCUCCCCCAGGCUCUGCUGCACUCCACUUUCCCCACACUUCCAGGGUGUUUACACUAGGGGUUGGAAAACUUCUUCUGUGACAGUCCAGAGAGGAAAUAUUGUAAACUCUGCAGAUCCCACAAUCACGGUGAUAACUCCUCAACCCUGCUGUUGGGGUGGAACAGCAGCCACAGCAAGAAAUGCUUGGCCAUGGCUGUGUUCCAGUACAAUGUUAUUUAUAGACACUGAAAUUUGAAUUGCAUGUUACUUUCUCAUGUCAUAAAAUAGUAUUCUUCCUUUGGUUCUUUUUCAACCAUUAAAAUGUGAAAAUCA